rnacentral:lncRNA from 8 species
AUGAACGCUCACCUCUUGAUUCAGGGUCUUAAGGCACAAGUAGCACAGUGGAGGUCUCUUCUCCCCUCUACUCCUCUCCUCUCCCAUCUACUCUCCUCUCCCCUCUACAUCUCUCCCCUCUACACCUCCCCUCUCCUCUCUACACCUCCCCACCCUGCUCUACACCUCCCCUCUACUCCUCUCCUCUCCCCUCUACACCUCUCCUCUCUACACCUCUCCUCUCCCCUCUACUCCUCUCUUCUCCCCUCUACACCUCUCAUCUCCCUUCUACACCUCUCCCCUCUACUCCUCUCCUCUCCCCUCUACACCUCUCCUCUCCCCUCUACUCCUCUCCUCUCCCCUCUACACCUCUCCACCCUGCUCUACACCUCUCCUCUCCCCUCUACUCUCCUCUCCCCUCUACUCUCCUCUCCCCUCUACACCUCUCCCCUCUACUCCCCUCUCCCCUAUUCUCUCCUCUCCCCUCUACUCUCCUCUCCCAUCUACUCUCCUCUCCCCUCUACACCUUUCCGCUCCACACCUCUCCUCUCCUCUCCCCUCUACAUAUCUCCUCUCCCCUCUACACCUCUCCUCUUCCCUCCAGCUCUCCUCUCCUCUCCUCUCCACCCCUCCUUUCCCCUCUACACCUCUCCACCCCGCUCUACACCUCUCCUCUCCCCUCUACACCUCUCCUCUUCCCUCUACACCUCUCCUCUUCCCUCUACACCUCUCCUCUCCCCUCUCCCCUCUACACCUCUCCACCCUGCUCUACACCUCUCCUCUCCUCUCUACACCUCUCCCCUCUACACAUCUCCUCUACACCUCUCCUCUCCCCUCUACGCCUCUCCUCUCCCCUCUAUGCCUCUCCUCUCCUCUCCACCCCUCCUUUCCCCUCUACACCUCUCCACCCCGCUCUACACCUCUCCUCUCCCCUCUAUGCCUCUCCUCUCCCCUCUACACCCCGCCGCUCCCCUCUACACCUCUACUCUCCUCUCCCCUCUACGCCUCUCCUCUCCUCUCCCCUCUACUCCUCUCCCCUCUACUCUCCUCUCCCCUCUACACCUUUCCGCUCCACUCUACACCUCUCCUCUCCCCUCUACACCUCCACCCCGCUCUACACCUCUCCCCUCUACACCUCUCCUCUUCCCUCUACACCUCUCCUCUCCCCUCUCCUCUACACCUCUCCUCUCUCCUCUACACCUCUCCUCUCCCCUCUACACCUCUCCACCCCGCUCUACACCUCUCCUCUCCCCUCUACACCUCUCCUCUCCCCUCUACACCUCUCCUCUCCCCUCUAUACAUCUCCUCUCCACCUCUCCUCUCCCCUCUACGCCUCUCCUCUCCCCUCUACGCCUCUCCUCUCCCCUCUACGCCUCUCCUCUACGCCUCUCCACUCCCAUCUACACCCCGCCUCUCCCCUCCCCUCUACUCCUCUCCCCUCUCAUCUUCCCUCUACAAUUCUCCUCUCCCCUCUACCCCUCUCCCCUCUACACCUCUCCUCUCGCCUCUAUGCCGCUGGGAGGACAAAUGAUAAGGACAAAGAGGUGUCUGUGCUGA